GGGUGCGAUCAUACCAGCACUAAUGCACCGGAUCCCAUCAGAACUCCGAAGUUAAACGUGCUUGGGCGAGAGUAGUACUAAGAUGGGUGACCUCUUGGGAAGUCCUCGUGUUGCACCCC
rfam:Jatropha curcas cultivar GZQX0401 scaffold1106_1, whole genome shotgun sequence.